rnacentral:rRNA from 1 species
CCUACGGGAGGCAGCAGUAGGGAAUAUUGCUCAAUGGGGGAAACCCUGAAGCAGCAACGCCGCGUGGAGGAUGAAGGUUUUCGGAUUGUAAACUCCUUUUGUUAGAGAAGAUAAUGACGGUAUCUAACGAAUAAGCACCGGCUAACUCCGUGCCAGCAGCCGCGGUAAUACGGAGGGUGCAAGCGUUACUCGGAAUUACUGGGCGUAAAGAGCGCGUAGGCGGGUUAGCAAGUCAGAUGUGAAAGCCUAUGGCUUAACCAUAGAACUGCAUUUGAAACUGUUAGUCUAGAGUAUGGGAGAGGUAGGUGGAAUUCGUGGUGUAGGGGUAAAAUCCUUAGAGAUCAAGAGGAAUACUCAUUGCGAAGGCGACCUACUAGAACAUAACUGACACUGAUGCGCGAAAGCGUGGGGAGCAAACAGGAUUAGAUACCCUUGUAGUC